rnacentral:lncRNA from 10 species
UCAGGUUUUUCCAGUUUGGCACUGGUUCCCUUGGAGGUUUCUGCUCAUGGGUUUCUGCUCUGCAGGUGAAAAUAUUGUGCCACUUCCUUAUAACCUCCAAAGUGUCUGAUGUGAAAUUGCUGUCAUUAGCAUGGAUUAUUUUCCCCCUAUAGUCAAAAGACACCGAAGGUCGUCGACACAGCAUCCAAAAAUGCUUCCUGGGGAAGAUGGACCAAGACGCUGCCGCGACAGGCUCCAAGAGGAAGAGUGGUAGCAGGCUAUAACACAGAGGAUAAUCUUGUCUCCAAAAGAGCAGAUUGGAUUUGAUGAGACUUAGCAAACCAGCCAUUCACCUGGGCAAGAUUGUCAAAAUUCAAACUUGAAUUGUAAGCUAAUUUGGAACAAUCAAUGGUAUUGGGAAAAAAAAAACUAGAGAUGUUUUUGGCAAUACACAGGCAGCAAGGGGAAAAAGCUUGGAGAGUUGGAUACAUUCAUUUUGAAAAUUUUCUUUUUUCUUUUCUUUUUUUUUUUUUUUUUGAGACAAGGCUUCACUCUGUGACCCAGGCUGGAGUGCAGUGGUGCAAUCACAGCUCACUUCAGCCUUGACUUCUUCAGGCUCAGGUGAUCCUCCCACCUCAGUCUCCUGGGCAGCUGGAACUACCGGUGUGCAUCACCAUACCUGGCUAAUUUUUCGUACUUUUUGUAGAGAUGGGGUUUCACCACGUUGCCUAUGCUGGUCUCAAACUCCUGGCCUCAAGAUAUCCACUUGCCUUGGCCUCCCAGCGUGUUGGAAUUACUGGCAUCAGCCACUGUGCCCAGCCUUGAAAAUUUCUCCCUAUUUAUAUUUUUAAGUUCAGAGACUAGUAGCUUCUGAGAAGAUGAUGGUUUACAAGAUUUCACUUAGAACCAACAUUGCAUGGAUUUAACUUUUCCAAAAUGGCUUAUUACUUAGCAGGUCUGCCAUUUCCAUUUAUAGAGAUAGAUUUUAAUUCACACAAUUUGGUCAUUAAAAAUCUAAUCAUGUGUCAUGUACCCUGCUGGGCAUUCUUUAGAAAUGUAGGAAAUCUUUUAUCUCAGCAUUCAAUCUAACUUCUAAAAUAACCAAAAUGGGGGAAAUAAAGCCAUUGCAAUAUGCUCUACCAUAGCCAAACAGGGAGUAGAGAUGGCAUAGCAAAGAAGGAUUAAGAACUUUCACAUGUCACUUGAUGCACUGAGUUAAAAUUCUGAGUUAUGACUAUGUGAAUUAUUUCUCUACCUGUGUUGUAUAUCUCUCUGUAUAUCUAUGUAUGUAUUCUUUCAACAUGCUAAUAUGCAUCAGCUGUCAUCCAUGCAGAACACUGCUUCUCAAACAUUAGCUUGGGGAGCUUGCUAAUGAUUCAGUAGCUCUUGGGUGGGGUCUGAGAAUUUGCACUGUUAACAAGUUCCAGAUGCUGGUCCUUGGACCAUACCUUGAGUGUCAAUUAUGUAGAAGCUUAUUUAUGCAUAUGUUUGCAUACUAUUGGCUUUUUUUAAAUGGAAGACUUCUGUGGCACAUUGAAGUCAUUUUUCUAUAGUUGAUAAACUGAUAGAUUAGUUUUGUUUUCACUUCUUUCUUAUUAG